GCCCAGGUGAUGGAAUUGGUAGACAUACGGGACUUAAAAUCCCGGGGGCUUUUGCCCGUGCCGGUUCAAGUCCGGCCCUGGGUA
rnacentral:tRNA from 1 species